rnacentral:rRNA from 1 species
UGAGGAAUAUUGGUCAAUGGACGCAAGUCUGAACCAGCCAUGUAGCGUGCAGGAUGACGGCCUUAUGGGUUGUAAACUGCUUUUAUAUGGGGAUAAAGUGGGGAACGUGUUCCCUUUUGCAGGUACCAUAUGAAUAAGGACCGGCUAAUUCCGUGCCAGCAGCCGCGGUAAUACGUAGGUGGCAAGCGUUGUCCGGAAUUAUUGGGCGUAAAGCGCGCGCAGGCGGUCACUUAAGUCCAUCUUAGAAGUGCGGGGCUUAACCCCGUGAUGGGAUGGAAACUGGGGGGCUGGGGUAUCGGGGAGGAAAGUGGAAUUCCUAGUGUAGCGGUGAAAUGCGUAGAUAUUAGGAAGAACACCGGUGGCGAAGGCGGCUUUAUGGACGAAAACUGGCGCUGAGGGGGGAAAGCGUGGGGAGCAAACAGG